AGUUAGGUAGGGGAUUUGGCUGUGACAUCUCUCAUUCCACUGACCUCCAUGGUUGACUCGGCUGGUCUGAUAGCUAGGCUAAUGUCCCCUUCCUGCUUCAGUACUGCAUGUAUGUUCCCUGCCAUAGCUGCAGCAUGCUGUUGAAGAGAACAGGUUUCUUGAUGGAAGAUCAUUCCUUGGUCAUUCUUUAAGGUAUACCAGUAGCUAUGCUCCCCUGCUAGAACUCCACACACAAGCUCUAUAAGAUCCACUUGUAGGAGAAUUUAAGGUAGUCAAGCUUCUCAACUCCCAACAUAGCCAAAUGAGGCACUUCUUGCCGCCAUGUCUUUCUUU
rnacentral:snRNA from 1 species